GCUGUUUUUGUCAAAUGGAAUAUUCAAUUUUUCAUGUUUAAAUUCGAUAGAAUAACGAGCUCUUAGCAUAGAAGUACUAAGGCAUAUUUGUCCUAAAAUUUAUCGUACCCGAGAUACUUGGCGUCAUUUGGCUUUUCGAUUGUGUAAUCAUGAAGUCAACCAAAUUAAAUUUCAUGCCAUUUCUUUUAUUUAUUUUAAUGAAAUAAUAAGAAUAUAAAUACAGUAGUAAUAUGAUAAUUGAACUCGAUACGAAAAUUAAAUACAGCGAAAUAACCUGAUCAUAUCUUGAUCAGUUUUUCUUAAACAACUGACCGAAACGUAGCACCGUUGAAGAAUACAGGAAAACGAGUUAUAUCAAUCUACUAAUUACCAUGAGACAACCAAUAACUGUGUGGUUAUAGAACAACAAAAUUUAUGUAUUUAAAAAUUUUUCACUUUGUCAAAAUUUCUACUUGAACCAAUUCUAAAAAAUAAUAAUAAAUUUUAACAAAUUCAUCUAUUAAUCAAAACUGAGACUUUAUGAAUUCUGUGAAUGAAAUUUAGUAGGAUUUAUAGUUGAUAUAAAAUGCUAGUGUACAAAUGGGAUGUUCUUCCAUGUUGACAAUUACAAAGAAUGCUAAAGCUAAAGCGGCGGUUCUUAACCUUUUGUUUACCACGAACUUUCCUUUACAUAAUUUUUCGUUGCCGUGGAUCUCCAAGACUUACUUCAAAAUUUAAAUAAGUUAAUUCAAGAUCUAAUGUGUCAAAUAUGUAUGUAGUUAUUAUAUUCAUCAACUGCUCAUCAACAACCUUCAAAUUUGAAGAAGAGAGAUUCAUUAUAAAUCUAAUACAUAUACCAAAUAUUUUUUAUUCAAAUAAUACAUUAAUAAUCACAGGGUAAGAACCGUUAAACUUUAUUGCUAAUUAACAUGUGGAUGGCUACCCCUAGCGGGAUACCAUCUUCGAGUGAGAGUAUCUCAAUAUCCCAGACAGGCGUCACACUUGCAUUGGAAUUCGUUUAGCCCACGAUACAGCAAAGGGGAAGACUUCAUACAUGGCACCUUUCCUCAAGCAACACAAUGUUGCAUUUUAUACCAUAAAUAACAUUAUUUAGAACAUUAUAGCCAAAGAUCAGAAUUGUUGAACGAUAUUCAAAUUAUUAUUAAAGCUACUUCAGAAAAUAUGGUUUUAAGGAAAAUGCGUUUAACAUUUUCCUCAUCCUCAUACUAUCAGUUACUUGUGAUACAUAAUACAUACGAAAAUAAAACAUUUUUAAUUCAUAA